CAAAAAGUCCCGCCUCUUACCACACACAUGUUGUGCCCCCUAAGUUGCCCUAAGUUCCCUGAUCAAGCAGAAACGUGCUUUGACUGGAGGAAGGCCUUGUAUCAGGUUGGAAAAACCAGCAGCCCUCCAGUGCUUCAGCCGUCCAACCAUCAACCGUUUCAGACAUCCAUCCUCCCACCACUUCAGCCCCACAGCCGUCCACCAGUGUCCCAACUCCUGACAUUUUACUGUCCUGGGGGGGGUCAUGGCCUCUACGCUGGAUUCCAAAAAAGAGACAAAAAACCCCCCGACCUCAACCCCCACUCUUAGUCAGACAUGUUUAUUUUUUUUAUUUACAAUAAUAAAUAAUAUACUAUGUACAUUUAUUUUGUUUUACUUUUUUAUACUUAGUUUCCUUAUUUCCUAUAAUAUUUAUUAGUAGUUGUUGUUUGUUGAUGUUAGUUCUUUUUAGCCCCUUUUAUGUUAAAAUAGACGUAAAUGAUCCAGAUGCUGAUAUUCUAAUAUAUAGACAGAUUUAUGAAUUAAUUAUUCUCAACAGAAGUUCAACGCUAUUGUGGUAGCAGUUUGACUGUUUUACUGUAAUCUGUCGUGCCUCACCCACUGUCCAUCCCAUAAAAAAGAACAAUUCUACAUCAUUAACCUUUUUUUUAUUUUUAUUCAUAUGGCACAUUCAUAAAUACAAAGUUAGAAAUCAUACCCCCCAUUUUUCUAACUUUAUCAAUGAGUUCAAACAAAACAUGAACACAAUAAGAAACUCUGACAAUAAGAAAGCAUUUAAAACAUUCAAUCUGUGCGUCAGUUUCAAUGUUUUUGUGAAAAAUUUCAUAAUAAUCCUCUGGUUUGUUUCUUUCUUGUUGCUUUUUGGAAUUGUUGUUUUGAAUUGUUACAGUCAAUAAAGUUUGAAUAAAAAACAACUGCAAUCUGUCAUGCGACAAGGUA